UACAGAGGUCUCAAGCGUUGUUCGGAUUCAUUGGGCGUAAAGGGUGCGUAGGCGGCGCGGAAAGUCGGGUGUGAAAUCUCGGAGCUUAACUCCGAAACUGCAUUCGAUACUGCCGUGCUUGAGGACUGGAGAGGAGACUGGAAUUUACGGUGUAGCGGUGAAAUGCGUAGAUAUCGUAAGGAAGACCAGUGGCGAAGGCGGGUCUCUGGACAGUUCCUGACGCUGAGGCACGAAGGUCAGGGGAGCAAACGGG
rnacentral:rRNA from 1 species